AACCCAUGGUGAGGGCACCUUCUCAAUAUGUCCUUAUUCCUCUCCCAUGCAUCAUAUAAAGUUUCAAGUUCCAUCUGUACAAAGGAAGAGAUAUCAUUCCUUAAUUU
rfam:Gossypium arboreum cultivar AKA8401 contig_14849_1, whole genome shotgun sequence.